AAUACUUAGGAAUCUGCCCAUUAAUGGGGGACAACAGUUGGAAACGACUGCUAAUACCGCAUACGCCCUACGGGGGAAAGCAGGGGAUCUUCGGACCUUGCGUUAAUGGAUGAGCCUAAGUCGGAUUAGCUAGUUGGUGGGGUAAAGGCCUACCAAGGCGACGAUCUGUAGCGGGUCUGAGAGGAUGAUCCGCCACACUGGGACUGAGACACGGCCCAGACUCCUACGGGAGGCAGCAGUGGGGAAUAUUGGACAAUGGGCGGAAGCCUGAUCCAGCCAUGCCGCGUGUGUGAAGAAGGCCUUUUGGUUGUAAAGCACUUUAGGCGAGGAGGAAGCUACUAGUAUUAAUACUACUGGAUAGUGGACGUUACUCGCAGAAUAAGCACCGGCUAACUCUGUGCCAGCAGCCGCGGUAAUACAGAGGGUGCGAGCGUUAAUCGGAUUUACUGGGCGUAAAGCGUACGUAGGUGGUCUUUUAAGUCGGAUGUGAAAUCCCUGAGCUUAACUUAGGAAUUGCAUUCGAUACUGGGAGACUAGAGUAUGGGAGAGGAUGGUAGAAUUCCAGGUGUAGCGGUGAAAUGCGUAGAGAUCUGGAGG
rnacentral:rRNA from 1 species